UUCUAAGCCAUGCGAGUCAAGGGGKSGMAAACRCCGACRAACUGSUCAGUAACACGUUGAUAAUCUGYUCWUAGGUCUGGAAUAACCUYGGAAACCUGAGGCUAAAUCCGGAUGAGAGACUCGUUCUGGAAAGAAGUGUCUCUAAAAGGCAACGCCUAAGGAUGWGUCAGCGGCCGAUUAGGUAGUUGGUGGGGUAAAGGCCCACCAAGCCUACGAUCGGUAGKGGCCUUGGAAGAGGUUGCCCCGAGAAGGGAACUGAGAUACUGUCCCUAGCCCUACGGGGUGCAGCAGGCGCGAGAACUCUACAAUGCACGAAAGUGUGAUAGSGGAACCCUGAGUGCUCAGCUUUGCUGGGCUUUUGUCAAGAGUAAAAAUCUUGGCGAAUAAGUGGUGGGUAAGACGGGUGCCAGCCGCCGCGGUAACACCCGCGCCACAAGUGGCGAUCGUUAUUAUUGGGCCUAAAGCGUCCGUAGCAGGCGCUGCAAAUCUUCUGUGAAAUUGUUGCGCUUAACGUAACAGCGUGCAGAAGACACUUCUGUGCUUGGGACCGGGAGGAGUCAGAGGUAUUUCUUGGKGAGCGGUAAAAUGCUAUAAUCCAAGAAGGACCAMCGAUGGCGAARGCAUCUGACUAGAACGGAUCCGACUGUGAGGGACGAAAGCUAKGGGAGCGAACCGGAUUAGAUACCCGAGUAGUCCUAGCCGUAAACUCUGCKAGYUAGGUGUUGCGCAAUCUUAGGGAUUGCGCAGUAUCGAAGCGAAGGCGAUAAGCUCGCCGCCUGSGAAGUACGGUCGCAAGGCUGAAACUUAAAGGAAUUGGCGGGGGAGCACUACAAGGGGUGCGGCGUGCGRUUUAAUCUAACUCUACRCAGAKUAUCUCACCAGCAGCGACGGCWGGAUGAAAGUCAGAUYAARGUUUWUUCUUGACGAGCCGAGAGUUGGUGCAUGGCCU
rnacentral:rRNA from 1 species